UCUAAAAUGGCAGAAUAGUGCAUUGGAUUUAAAACCCAAAUAUAAAAUUUAGAUUUUUUUUAGAA
rnacentral:tRNA from 1 species